AAACCUCAAAGUGACAUUUUCAUGCCAUGGGACCUUUAAAGAUACUUUUGUAAAAAUCUAAAUAACUUUAGAGAUCUUGAUUUGUAAAGGGUUUAAACAAUGUUGGAUUAGCAUGCUUGUUCAAUGAACCAUAAACAAUUAAUGAACAUGCACCUGUUGAACCGUAGAAAAGACAACGGCUUAAGGCCGGUAGGCAAUUAAGGUCACAGUUAUAAGAAAAUUAGGAAAGUAAAGAGACCUUUCUUCUGACUGAAAAACACCAAAAGAAAGACGCCCAGGGUCCCUGCUAAUCUGCGUGAACGUGCCUUAGGCACGGUGCAAGGAGGCAUGACGACAGCAGAUGUGGCCAGAGCAAUACAUUGCAAUGUCCCUACUGUGAGACGCCUAAGACAGCGCUACAGGGAGACAGGAAGCACAGCUGAUCGUCCUCGCAGUGGCAGACCACGUGUAACAACACCUGCAUAGGAUCGGUACAUCUGAAUAUCACACCUGCGGGACAGUAAUCCAUCCACGCCGUCUGAAACCUGGACUACUACACCUGACUACUACACCUGACUACAGCUCACCUGCCUGCCCCUCGCUCCAUCCUGUUUUUUUUCCAUUGGGGACUAUACUUCACCCUGUAAAUAAAACCCUUACCUUUAA